rnacentral:tRNA from 1 species
GGGUGAUUAGCUCAGCUGGGAGAGCACCUUCCCUUACAAGGAGGGGGUCGGCGGUUCGAUCCCGUCAUCACCCACCA